AUGAUUAUUUCAGUGAUCAUGAUGAUCAUGUAGCUGAAAAUGAUGUCCAGCCACAUGUUGAAGACCUAUUGGCUGAGGGCCAUUUCAAAAAAGAUUCCAACUCAUGAUAAGGUUGUAGCUGAUUAUAUCCAGGAGCAACCACACAAAAACAAGUACCUUUAUAUACAGUACUUCUAUUUAUUAUUUUCCACAGUAUGUGAAACAGUAGUCCAGGCCUGUUACUACAAUAAAUACCUACCUUGCAGAAA